rnacentral:rRNA from 1 species
GGAAGAAUGGGUUCUGGGGGAAUAUCCCGGAGCAGUGACGGUACCGAUUGAGGAAGCCACGGCUAACUCUGUGCCAGCAGCCGCGGUAAUACAGAGGUGGCAAGCGUUGUUCGGAAUUACUGGGCGUAAAGGGCGCGUAGGUGGCCUUUUCAGUCAGACGUGAAAUCCCCAGGCUUAACCUGGGAACUGCGUCUGAUACUGGAAGGCUUGAGUUCGGGAGAGGGAUGUGGAAUUCCAGGUGUAGCGGUGAAAUGCGUAGAUAUCUGGAGGAACACCGGUGGCGAAGGCGGCAUCCUGGACCGAAACUGACACUGAGGCGCGAAAGCCAGGGGAGCAAACGGGAUUAGAUACCCCGGUAGUCCUGGCCCUAAACGAUGAGUGCUUGGUGUGGCGGGUAUCGAUCCCUGCCGUGCCGAAGCUAACGCAUUAAGCACUCCGCCUGGGGAGUACGGUCGCAAGGCUGAAACUCAAAGG